AGAGUUUGAUCCUGGCUCAGGACGAACGCUGGCGGCGUGCUUAACACAUGCAAGUUGAACGGUAUGACAUGGAAGCUUGCUGAAGUGUCAUAUAGUAGCGGACGGGUGAGUAACGUGUGGGUAACCUGCCAUAUACUGGGGAAUAAUCAUUGGAAACGAUGACUAAUACCGCAUGUGGUCACGAGAUGGCAUCAUCUUGUGAAGAAAGGGCUUCGGCUCGGUAUAUGAUGGACCCGCAUCUGAUUAGCUAGUUGGUGAGAUAACAGCUCACCAAGGCGACGAUCAGUAGCCGACCUGAGAGGGUGAUCGGCCACAUUGGGACUGAGACACGGCCCAAACUCCUACGGGAGGCAGCAGUGGGGAAUAUUGCACAAUGGGCGAAAGCCUGAUGCAGCAACGCCGCGUGAAGGAAGAAGGGUUUCGGCUCGUAAACUUCUAUCAAUGGGGAAGAAACAAAUGACGGUACCCAAAUAAGAAGCCCCGGCUAACUACGUGCCAGCAGCCGCGGUAAUACGUAGGGGGCAAGCGUUAUCCGGAAUUACUGGGUGUAAAGGGUGAGUAGGCGGCAUGAUAAGUAAGAUGUGAAAGCCCGCAGCUUAACUGCGGGAUUGCAUUUUAAACUAUUGAGCUAGAGUACAGGAGAGGAAAGCGGAAUUCCCAGUGUAGCGGUGAAAUGCGUAGAUAUUGGGAAGAACACCAGUGGCGAAGGCGGCUUUCUGGACUGAAACUGACGCUGAGGCACGAAAGCGUGGGGAGCGAACAGGAUUAGAUACCCUGGUAGUCCACGCCGUAAACGAUGAGUGCUAGGUGUCGGAGGGGAACCUUCGGUGCCGUAGCAAACGCAAUAAGCACUCCACCUGGGGAGUACGAUCGCAAGAUUGAAACUAAAGGAAUUGACGG
rnacentral:rRNA from 1 species